GAAUGAGAUUAGUGCCCUUAUAACAGAGACCCCAGAGAGAUCCCUUACUCCUUCCACCAUGAGAGGACACAAUGAAAAGAUGGCAGUCUGUGAACUAGGAAGUGGGCCCUCUGCAGACACCAAAUCUACUGGCACCUGGAUCUUGAACUUCCAAGCCUCCGAAACUGGUAUCCUUGGGCAGUAGUGAAAUUUCCAGGACUAUUAUUCUACUGAGAAGGCACACAUAGAUCUGAGUCCUUCUGCCCCGCAGUACAUAGUUGUGUAUUCUAGUUGUAGGUCCUUCUGGUUAUGCCAUGUGGGAUGCCGCCUCAGCGUAGCUGGACGAGCAGUGCCGUGUCCACGCCCAGGAUCUGAACCGGUGAAACCCUGGGCCGCCAAGGGGGAGCACAAGAACAUAACCACUCCACGACGGAGCCGAUCCCAGGAACUUCUCUUUAAAGCACAGGCAUUUAUGAUGCUCACAUUAAGUUUUAGGCUAAAUAAAAUAUUUGUUCUCUGCAAA
rnacentral:lncRNA from 1 species